UUAAGCGACUAAGUGUACACGGUGGAUGCCCUGGCAGUCAGAGGCGAUGAAGGACGUGCUAAUCUGCGAUAAGCGUCGGUAAGGUGAUAUGAACCGUUAUAACCGGCGAUUUCCGAAUGGGGAAACCCAGUGUGNCACACUAUCAUUAACUGAAUCCAUAGGUUAAUGAGGCGAACCGGGGGAACUGAAACAUCUAAGUACCCCGAGGAAAAGAAAUCAACCGAGAUUCCCCCAGUAGCGGCGAGCGAACGGGGAGGAGCCCAGAGCCUGAAUCAGUGUGUGUGUUAGUGGAAGCGUCUGGAAAGGCGCGCGAUACAGGGUGACAGCCCCGUACACAAAAAUACACAUAUUGUGAGCUCGAUGAGUAGGGCGGGACACGUGGUAUCCUGUCUGAAUAUGGGGGGACCAUCCUCCAAGGCUAAAUACUCCUGACUGACCGAUAGUGAACCAGUACCGUGAGGGAAAGGCGAAAAGAACCCCGGCGAGGGGAGUGAAAAAGAACCUGAAACCGUGUACGUACAAGCAGUGGGAGCACGCUUAGGCGUGUGACUGCGUACCUUUUGUAUAAUGGGUCAGCGACUUAUAUUCUGUAGCAAGGUUAACCGAAUAGGGGAGCCGAAGGGAAACCGAGUCUUAACUGGGCGUUAAGUUGCAGGGUAUAGACCCGAAACCCGGUGAUCUAGCCAUGGGCAGGUUGAAGGUUGGGUAACACUAACUGGAGGACCGAACCGACUAAUGUUGAAAAAUUAGCGGAUGACUUGUGGCUGGGGGUGAAAGGCCAAUCAAACCGGGAGAUAGCUGGUUCUCCCCGAAAGCUAUUUAGGUAGCGCCUCGUGAAUUCAUCUCCGGGGGUAGAGCACUGUUUCGGCAAGGGGGUCAUCCCGACUUACCAACCCGAUGCAAACUGCGAAUACCGGAGAAUGUUAUCACGGGAGACACACGGCGGGUGCUAACGUCCGUCGUGAAGAGGGAAACAACCCAGACCGCCAGCUAAGGUCCCAAAGUCAUGGUUAAGUGGGAAACGAUGUGGGAAGGCCCAGACAGCCAGGAUGUUGGCUUAGAAGCAGCCAUCAUUUAAAGAAAGCGUAAUAGCUCACUGGUCGAGUCGGCCUGCGCGGAAGAUGUAACGGGGCUAAACCAUGCACCGAAGCUGCGGCAGCGACGCUUAUGCGUUGUUGGGUAGGGGAGCGUUCUGUAAGCCUGCGAAGGUGUGCUGUGAGGCAUGCUGGAGGUAUCAGAAGUGCGAAUGCUGACAUAAGUAACGAUAAAGCGGGUGAAAAGCCCGCUCGCCGGAAGACCAAGGGUUCCUGUCCAACGUUAAUCGGGGCAGGGUGAGUCGACCCCUAAGGCGAGGCCGAAAGGCGUAGUCGAUGGGAAACAGGUUAAUAUUCCUGUACUUGGUGUUACUGCGAAGGGGGGACGGAGAAGGCUAUGUUGGCCGGGCGACGGUUGUCCCGGUUUAAGCGUGUAGGCUGGUUUUCCAGGCAAAUCCGGAAAAUCAAGGCUGAGGCGUGAUGACGAGGCACUACGGUGCUGAAGCAACAAAUGCCCUGCUUCCAGGAAAAGCCUCUAAGCAUCAGGUAACAUCAAAUCGUACCCCAAACCGACACAGGUGGUCAGGUAGAGAAUACCAAGGCGCUUGAGAGAACUCGGGUGAAGGAACUAGGCAAAAUGGUGCCGUAACUUCGGGAGAAGGCACGCUGAUAUGUAGGUGAAGUCCCUUGCGGAUGGAGCUGAAAUCAGUCGAAGAUACCAGCUGGCUGCAACUGUUUAUUAAAAACACAGCACUGUGCAAACACGAAAGUGGACGUAUACGGUGUGACGCCUGCCCGGUGCCGGAAGGUUAAUUGAUGGGGUCAGCGCAAGCGAAGCUCUUGAUCGAAGCCCCGGUAAACGGCGGCCGUAACUAUAACGGUCCUAAGGUAGCGAAAUUCCUUGUCGGGUAAGUUCCGACCUGCACGAAUGGCGUAAUGAUGGCCAGGCUGUCUCCACCCGAGACUCAGUGAAAUUGAACUCGCUGUGAAGAUGCAGUGUACCCGCGGCAAGACGGAAAGACCCCGUGAACCUUUACUAUAGCUUGACACUGAACAUUGAGCCUUGAUGUGUAGGAUAGGUGGGAGGCUUUGAAGUGUGGACGCCAGUCUGCAUGGAGCCGGCCUUGAAAUACCACCCUUUAAUGUUUGAUGUUCUAACGUGGACCCGUGAUCCGGGUUGCGGACAGUGUCUGGUGGGUAGUUUGACUGGGGCGGUCUCCUCCUAAAGAGUAACGGAGGAGCACGAAGGUUGGCUAAUCCUGGUCGGACAUCAGGAGGUUAGUGCAAUGGCAUAAGCCAGCUUGACUGCGAGCGUGACGGCGCGAGCAGGUGCGAAAGCAGGUCAUAGUGAUCCGGUGGUUCUGAAUGGAAGGGCCAUCGCUCAACGGAUAAAAGGUACUCCGGGGAUAACAGGCUGAUACCGCCCAAGAGUUCAUAUCGACGGCGGUGUUUGGCACCUCGAUGUCGGCUCAUCACAUCCUGGGGCUGAAGUAGGUCCCAAGGGUAUGGCUGUUCGCCAUUUAAAGUGGUACGCGAGCUGGGUUUAGAACGUCGUGAGACAGUUCGGUCCCUAUCUGCCGUGGGCGCUGGAGAACUGAGGGGGGCUGCUCCUAGUACGAGAGGACCGGAGUGGACGCAUCACUGGUGUUCGGGUUGUCAUGCCAAUGGCACUGCCCGGUAGCUAAAUGCGGAAGAGAUAAGUGCUGAAAGCAUCUAAGCACGAAACUUGCCCCGAGAUGAGUUCUCCCUGACCCUUUAAGGGUCCUGAAGGAACGUUGAAGACGACGACGUUGAUAGGCCGGGUGUGUAAGCGCAGCGAUGCGUUGAGCUAACCGGUACUAAUGAACCGUGAGGCUUAACCUU
rnacentral:rRNA from 1 species